UCGGUUGACUCAUCACCGAGUCAGCGACUCAGCGAACCAGGAAAAAAAAACGAUUCCUUUAGAGGAAUCCGACGAGCUUUUUAUAAAGCGAUUCUGUGCUACAGGCGUAUGUAUAUCCGUCUAUACGUAUAGAGAUAGAUAGAGAGAGAGAGAGAGAGAUGGGGAGUGUGGGAGAGAUCGGCGGAGAUGAAGCGGUGUUCAACUUGGAUGAGACGAUCUUCGUUGCGGUGGCGGAGGAUGUGGAGAGGAGUAAGACGACGGUGCUUUGGGCGGCGCGAAAUUUCUCCGGCAAGAGGAUAUGCUUGCUUCAUAUUCACCGCCCUGCUCGGCCCGCGCCGUGGAACAAGAAACUUGUUGCUGGCAAAUUUAGACAAGAUUCUGUCAAGGUGAUUGAGCACGUUGAGAGACAAAAAUUGGACGAGCUUAUGAAUUCUUAUCUUCGACUUCUAUCUGAAACUGCGGUUCAAACAGAUAAGCUGUGGAUUGCGAGGCCAAAUAUAGAGGAGGGUAUUGUUGAACUAAUUACUCGGCACAAGAUUAAGUGGUUUGUAAUGGGAGCUGCAUCAGAUAAGCAUUAUUCAUGGAAAAUGACCGAUUUGAAGUCCAAGAAAGCCAUAUUUGUUUGCCAGAGAGCACCUGUUUCCUGUCAUAUUUGGUUUCUGUGCAAGGGUUACCUUAUCUUUACAAGGGCAACAAAUGAAGACAGUACUAACAGGGAAUCGAGGCCUCCUUUAGUACAGCGAGAUUCAGAUGCCGAGACAAGGAAAUCAGAAAACUUGGAAUCAUCUUAUAUGAUGAGAAGACUACGCUAUUGGCGUAGCCUCCUUGAACAAGAUGCUGACAAAGACACAGGUGAAUUGGAGAAAGAGGCAGGGAGUUCCAUUCCUCGUGUCUCUUCCGGUUCAAGUUCCUCUGUUGGUGAACUGGUUGCCCCAGAACCUGUUGGCUUGGAUACAGCAACUAAGUUAACCGAUGAGGAGGUGAAGUGUGAUCAGGAGGUAGUACACAAAGUUCAUCAUAAGUAUGAUAAAUUCAAUAAUGCCAUGGACCAGGCAGAGAGAACUAUCUAUGAAGAAGCUGGAAACAAACAGAAAGAGGAUGACAGUACCUUUGAGGCUAUAUGCAAGUCAAAAGCGUUGGAAAGCUUAUGCAUGAAGGAGAUGAGCCGAAGAAAAAAGCUGGAAGAAUUGCUGGGAAGGGAGAAAGAAGAUGUAAAGAAGGUAAUGGACCAGCAUGACAAUUUCAAGAAAGAACUAAAGAUGGUUCAAGGCCAAAAUCUCCAGCUGGAGAAUCAAAUUCGCAAAAUUCGAGACAUGGAAAAAGAAUAUGAUGAAAAAUUCGUGACAGCUAUGGAGCUCUUGAAAAGCUUCAAGCAGAAAAGGGAUGAGAUGCAGAUAGAGCAUGGGAAAGCGGUGAGGGAGGUGAAUGAGUUGAGAAAACUGGUAAAAGGAGAGUCUGAAAAUUCUCGUGGAACGCAGAUUCUCGAGUAUUCCUUCAUGGAACUCAAUGAAGCUACUAACGAAUUUGACCCCUCCUGGAAACUUGGAGAAGGAAAUUAUGGAAGCAUCUACAAGGGUUAUCUUCAACAUAUUCAAGUUGCUGUAAAGAUGUUACCUUCUUAUGGCUCCCAGAAUCACUUGGAGUUCCAGCAUCAGGUGGAAAUUUUAAGCAGGGUGAGGCAUCCGAAUCUGGUGACAUUGAUGGGAGCUUGCACAGAGUCUCAGUCCCUCAUUUAUCAGUAUAUUGAGAAUGGCAGCCUCGAAGACCGUCUCUCCACCAGACACAACAUUCCCCCGCUUUCAUGGGAAACUCGGAUCAGGAUUGCUUCAGAGAUUUGCUCUGCCCUCUUGUUUCUCCAUUCCAACAUGCCUUGCAUCAUCCAUGGAAAUCUGAAACCAUCCAAGAUUCUCCUUGAUUCCUAUCUUGUCACCAAAACCACUGACUACGGUAUUUCGCAGUUGAUUCCAGAAGUGAAGAUUAACAAACCUGUUCAUGUAGAUCCGAAUUUCUUUGUCUCUGGACGGUUGACACCAGAAUUAGACGUAUAUUCAUUCGGGAUCAUUCUCCUCCAGCUGCUCACCAGGAGACCUGUUUCGGGUAUAUUGAGAGAUGUCAAAUGUGCUUUAGAGAAUGAUAACUUUGGUGCGGUUCUGGAUAGUUCGGCUGGAGAUUGGCCAGUUGCUCGAGCCAGAAAGCUGGCAAAUGUGGCGAUGCGUUGCUGUAAAAAGAACCCCUUGAAUAGACCAGACCUGUCUGUGGUUCUGCGGGUGAUUGAGCGGAUGAGGGUUCCCGAAAAUUUAUCAUCAUCGUCAUCAACACCAUCAUACUCAGACCACAAAGUUCCACGCCGGGCUCCUUCUCACUUCCUCUGUCCCAUUUUCCAGGAAGUGAUGAAAGAUCCGCUCAUAGCAGCAGAUGGGUUCACAUAUGAAGCAGAAGCAAUCCGAGAAUGGCUGGUGAAUGGACACGACACUUCACCGAUGACAAACCUCACGAUGGAAGACUGCAACCUCAUCCCGAACCGUGCUCUCCAACAAGCCAUUCAAGACUGGCAAAACCGUUGGUGAAAAGGCAAGGCGUGUAUGUAUUUGUUAAUUGAAGCCACAAGUUGGGAGAGGUUCGAUGUCUUUGUAGAUAGAAAUGGAGUUACAAAGAGUUAUCCCAAGCUCUCUUAAAUAUGAUGUGACCAAAUCGGCAUCCAACAAAGAUUCUCCCGAAGGCAUUACUGAAACUGGAUGAACAGUUUGGGUAUCAAAUCAAGAAGUGUUGAAUUCUGCAUGGAGAGAGAGAAAACACGUUGUUUUACGUGUAUAUAUGUGUUUCCUUGUACGUACUUCUUCACACCCACAAUUUCUUUUGAUUGCUUUUUCUUUCUAUA